AAUUUAUUUUAUUUUUUUAGAAAAGUUUAAUUAUUGUGCAUCUGAUGAGUCAAAGAAUUAGAAAACACUAUUACACAAAGUCAAAAGUAAUACUUUAUUAUAACAAUAGAAUUAUUUAUACAAUAGUGAGUGCAACUAUAUUUAAGAUUAUAAAAUCUACUGUGCAUCAAGCAGUUUAUCCCAUUAACCUUACAAUAUACAAUAAUGCAAGAAGUAAUGUGUCUCAUUACAAAAUAGGGUUUCCCAAAGCAGUUCUAAAAUUCAGCUGAUUAUCAAUGAUCUAUGCUGUUAAUAAUUACAGUAAUUUGGCAGUUUGAUUGCUUGAAUUAAAAACAAAAGGUCUAGGACUCAACAGAAAGAAAUAUUUCUUAACAUCAAAUAUUAAAGAUAGUUUGAAGC